UGGCUCAAGUGAUAGAAAGAAAAGUCCAAGUUCAAUUCCCCUUAAAUAGUCUCAAUUCAUAGUGCUCAAGAAGUGCUACAACAUCAAAACUAAUUUUGAUUUACUAAGAACUGAUUUCUCAGAAUCAUGGGGGGGGUGUUACAUGUGUCUACAAACACAUAUAUACACACAUAACACAUACACAUAUAUGCAUACAAGUUCACACAUAUUCUAUGAGAACAUAAGACAUGGAAACUUUAGAUGAAAAUUAUUCAACAUUAUCUACUCCUGUACUUAAACUGUAUUGAACAUGUUUAGCCUCUACAUCUUAAAAAAAAAAAAUCCAAAGCCAGGUGCCAGUGACUCAUGCCUGUAAUCCUAGCUACUCAGAAGACUGAAUUCUGAGGAUCACUGUUCAGGUAGAAAAGUCCCUGUGA